GCUCACUUGGUAGAGUAAAAGGCUCUUAACCUUAUGGUCGUGGGUUCAAGCCCCAC
rnacentral:tRNA from 1 species